UACGAAGGGGGCUAGCGUUGCUCGGAAUUACUGGGCGUAAAGGGCGCGUAGGCGGAUAGUUUAGUCAGAGGUAAAAGCCCAGGGCUCAACCUUGGAACUGCCUUUGAUACUGGCUGUCUUGAGUCCGGGAGAGGUGAGUGGAACUCCUAGUGUAGAGGUGAAAUUCGUAGAUAUUAGGAAGAACACCAGUGGCGAAGGCGGCUCACUGGCUCGUAUCUGACGCUCAGGCGCGACAGCGUGGGGGAUCAAACAGG
rnacentral:rRNA from 1 species